rnacentral:rRNA from 1 species
GUGGGGAAUAUUGGACAAUGGGCGAAAGCCUGAUCCAGCCACGCCGCGUGUGUGAUGAAGGCCUUCGGGUCGUAAAGCACUGUGGAGAGGGAAGAACUCAAUGACGGUACCUCUUUAGCAAGCACCGGCUAACUCCGUGCCAGCAGCCGCGGUAAUACGGAGGGUGCUAACGUUGCUCGGAAUUAUUGGGCGUAAAGCGCACGUAGGCGGCCCAGUGUGUCGGAUGUGAAAGCCCUCGGCUUAACCGAGGAAGUGCAUUCGAAACUACUAGGCUUGAGUACGGGAGAGGGUAGCGGAAUUCCCGGUGUAGAGGUGAAAUUCGUAGAUAUCGGGAGGAACACCAGUGGCGAAGGCGGCUACCUGGACCGAUACUGACGCUCAGGUGCGAAAGCGUGGGGAGCAAACAGGAUUAGAAACCCGGGUAGUCC